rfam:Moellerella wisconsensis ATCC 35017 Sequence00018, whole genome shotgun sequence.
UUCUUUAAAACAAUAAUUGGCAAAUAAAGUAAGAAAGUAAGAUAUUUAGCUGUUUGAUUGAGUAAUAACGCUGCAAUGGCGUAAGACGUUAAGCAAAAUCAAAUAAUUAGCGAGCAGCGAAUAAUUGCUUAUUGGGUCGGGGACUAAUCGUAUUGUUUUAAUAGCUACGGUGCCUCGAUUAAGAACGCUGAAUUUUUAAUCGAAAAAUCAGGUUCACCGAAAAAUAACGCGCCUCUAUACAGUCGACAUCCGCGAGGCUGACGAUCCUGUAAAAGUCACGGGGCCAUCGGUUUACAGUAGCACCAUUUUUUCGUUGCUCUUUAUUGAA